GGACCACACUGAUUAGGUGUGCGGCUGCAUGGGCUUUUGCCCUGAAUGACCGAGUUUCUGACACUCUUGGGCGCGGACCACGUGGAAAGGAGUGCGGACCGCGCAUCUUGACUUGAAAAUUGCAUGGUCUCUGAACUAUCCAGCGCGGCCGUGUGGCAAAGCAGUGCAGACCGCGCAGGUUGACCUAGAAAUUGCCCAGCCUCUGAACUCUCCUGUGCGGCCGCGUGAUAAAUCAGUACGGACCGCACAUGUCAUUUUGUUCCCUACUUCAGUUGUCUUUUGACACUUGGCAGAUUUCACUCCUUUUUGAGCCGAUCUUUGGUAUUUGUCAUCUUGUCACUCAAACCUGCAAUCAAGCGCAACUUGUAAGCAUUUUGGGACUAAUUUAUGGAGUUAAUGCACAAAGUUUGGGUAAGAAUGGGUAUAAAACAUGUAGAAAUCACAGUUAUCACGGUCCUUAAGCCGCUUUUGCGAUCGCGCUUCUACGCGCUUCAACCACAUCUGCGGCAGGUGCGUCCAAGCACCCGCACCUACGAUCCUCACUCCCAGCUCCUUUUCUCGCUUUUGCGAUGACACUACCACUUUUGCAGCUCCUCACCUGCACCCAACGCUCCGCAGGUGCGGUUAUACCAGAACCAAAAAAUCUUCAGCAAUGCAACAUGGAAUAAAAAUGAUCCGAACCUCGUUCAAAACUCACCCGAGCUACUCGGUGUCACACCUCCUUUUUCCUACCCUUGGAAGGGUAUAAGGGAGUUUUUUCAAAUUUAAGUGACAAUCAAAACGGGAUUUAUUAAAAGAUUCAGAGUCGCCACUUGGGAAAUUCAUGGCAUCCCAAGUCACCGGUUCAAAUCCCGAAUCGAGGAAAAGAUUGACACUGUAUUACAAUCUGCGAACACAGAAAUCCAGGUAAGGAAUUCUGUUAACCCGGGAGAAGGUAUUAGGCAUUCCCGGAUUUUGUGGUUCUAGCACGGUCGCUCAACUAUUAUUAUUGGCCUAAUUAUCUGAUUUAAUUAUACGUUUAAAACCUAUUGUGCAUUUUUAGCUUUAGAACCACUUUUAAUUAAGUUAAAUCGCUUUUCAGGAAGAUUCAACGUCAUUUAAAACACGCCUUGAACCACGCCACAUGAAAGUCUAUAACAUAUUUUAUUUAACGUUAUUGGGAAUUGGAGUUGGGUCACAUGAAAUGCACACCCGAGUUUAGGAAGGUAACUUUUUAAAAUAACGCGCCUAAAACAACUACGCACUUUCAAGUUUGCGAGGGCCAUGGAAAUUCAACUAGGUGGCACACCUCGAUUCUAAUUUCAAGGGAUUGUACUCAACUAAAUCAAGGCCGAGAGUUUAUGGAAUAUAAUAGGAGAUAACACUAAGUUUUAUCAAAGUGAUGUACUAGAAUACUGAUAACGUAAUAAAGAACAAUGUAGCUUCGAGUUCAAAUAUUUAGGAAUAGUAAAGCAGCAGGAAGAAAUCAAAGUAGUUAUUCAAUGUAUACUAGUAGUAGUGUAGGUGACAAAAAUAAAGAAAUUUAACAGUGAUCCUAAGGUUACAAGAGCUUGAGUUCGUCAACAAAACCAACUAUUAAAUACAAAUUGGUCACUAACCUUAACAAAAACAGAAAACACACACUGUCAGUUAGAGCAAAUUGGAAAAUAUUAGAGCUAAUAAAUUUACCUGCCGGUCUUGGUCUGAAUUGGCCUAGCAGUAUUAUCAAAUCAAAGCAACAACAGAAACUAAUACAUAAUCUUAACUCACACAUAUUACAUUCAGGCGAUUUCAACCAACUUUAAUUUAUUAAACAACCUAAAUAAAUCUAUCCAAGCAAACAGAAAUUGAAAUUUAGUUUUUGCCUUCAAAAUUCAUCAAGUGAAAUACACCAGGACACUUCCAAUUUCAAUACAAUCAUGUCGUGCUAUUAUACUUAACAUGCUCUGAAGUUACAAAGAAGGUCGUAGGUAAAAUAUCUGGAAUAAUGAAAGAGAACCGAAAUUUUGACCAAAUAAAGAUCAGAAAACUGUAAAUGGAGCUCAGUUAUUAACAAACAAACAUCAAUACAACCUCAACCUUGAGCGAAACCCAUUUUGAAAACCCAGAAAUAUGAAUGAGAGAACUUGCCAUUUGAUGGGAAACAACACUGCUUCUUUUAUGUAAAUUUUGAGCAAGGAUCGACAUAAAAAUGAUUUGUAUUCUAUAUGUUCUUUUCAGGUUUGAGACUGCAGAUUUACCAAUUCAAUGAGGGUCUUCUUUUCUCAAUUUUUCCUUUAGUAGGUGCGGUAGCUUCAUGGGUGUAGGAAAGGGUCUGUUCUUUGAGAGAAUUGGGGGUGAUGGCUCCUAAAAGUUUUCUGGUUUCUUAAGAAGACGAGAGCGCCAUUUUUGUUGUCAAGAGGCCUCAAUAUGGAAAAAUCUGAUCUCUCUUUAGUGUG
rnacentral:lncRNA from 1 species